rnacentral:rRNA from 1 species
AUGCCGGGAGUUCCGACGGAUUUCGCCGAGCACAAGCUACAUGUUCGACCAGAUGCCAAGCCAGUCAAGCAGCCUCUCCGCCGCCUGUCAGAAGAGAAGAGGAGAAUUGUUGGAGAAGAGAUAGCCCAGCUUCUAGCAGCCGGUUUCCUUAUGGAAGUGUUCUUUCCAGAGUGGUUGGCCAACCCAGUCCUUGUGCUGAAGAAGAAUAACAAGUGGCGCAUGUGUAUUGAUUAUACCAGCCUCAACAAAGCUUGCCCAAAAGAUCCGUUUGCCUUGCCUUGGAUUGACCAAGUGAUAGACUCCACAGCCGGAUGCGAGCUGGUGAGUUUUUUUGAUAUUUACUCAGGGUACCACUAG